UUGCGGAUGUUGAUGCGCACUUUCGAAAUAUUUUGCUUAUUAUUAAAGUUUCUGUAAUUUCUUACUGUUUGAAAUUUGAGUUGUUAAGUUUUUCUGUUAGUUGUUUUAUUAUUAGUUGUUUAAAAGUUUAUUAAUCGCUGCGUUUUUCUGAGUUGGUUAACAUGAGUUAACUUCGGAGAAAGCGUUGUUUUUGGCUGUGAUGCUUUUGUUGCACAUGGUGUCCCAAUCCAUAAAUUUCCAAACCCGGAGAAACAGCAUUUGUUUGAUGCUUGGUUAUCUGCUGUUGGAAGCCAUAUACAAGAAAGCGACCACAAAAGAAUUUACAGAAACAAAAGGAUAUGUGAUCACCAUUUUUAAAGCAUUUCCAAGACCACUGGAGGUUGUCUUGUGUGGUCAGCAGUGCCAACCAUUAACUUGAAAAAUAAAUAUAUUUUUUUAAUUUAUGGUGUUUAAUACUACUACAUAAUAGUUAUAUAGGUAUUUGAUACUGCUGUCUUACCUACCUUAACUUACGGUGCCCAAACCUGGAGCCCCAUUGAGAAACAUAUUCAUAAACUGAAAAUCUGUCAGAGCUAUGGAACGGUCAAUGUUAAAAAUUAAAAUUAAGGACAGAAUCAGAAACGAAGUCAUAAGAGAGAAAACUGGAGUAAAAGAUACAAUAUACGCAAUAAAAAAGAACAAAUGGGCCUGGGCUGGCCAUAUAUGUCGAACAAUGGAUAACCGGUGGACUAAACGUGUCACAGAAUGGUCACCAAUAGGAAUAACGAGAAAACAAAAAAGACCAAAUAAAAGAUGGAGAGACGAGCUAGUGAACUUCGACAGGGCUCCAGCAAACUAUUGCUACUAUAGUGGAGAAUGAUCACAGCUACUGCCAACUGCGAAGAGGACCAUUGCAAUCAAGACCUUUGGUUGAUAUAACAAACUUGCCUGGGCUAUCAGUUGACUCUACCAUACAUCCAGUACCUCCUGGAUCUACUUCAACUACUUGCAUAACAGUGUCAAGAGAAAAGUAUACUCGAAGAUCACACACAAAAUUUGAUGCAGACCAAACCUUCGAGUAUUUACAAUCUAAAACUGAAGCAAGGUGCUCACGAAAACUACGGCAGAAAGAAAACGAAAUAAGAAGAUUGCGGCAAAAGGUUCUCAAAACUAAGUUACGUCUUUUACAAAUACGGAAGCUGCCGCUAGCAGAGGUUUUGAGAAGUUUGCUCAGCACAUGUCGGAGUCAGCCAAACUAUUUACAAGAAUGCCGGUUUUUGAAGGAGGAAAAAAAAAAGCAUAGACGUAGAUUCUCUAUGGAGGAAAAAAUAUUAUCUCUAUCAACUUUUAAGAAAAGCCCUAAAGCAUACAAACUAAUGUGUAAGCAUUUUACUUUACCGUCUAAAAAGGUUUUGAAAUCAUUGCUAGCACAAAUUAAACUUACAAUAGGAAUCAAUAGUGUUAUUUAGGUAUCCUUGCCUCCCGCUUGAACCACAUAUGAGAUAACACCCUUGUAACUCAGCCCUAAUUAAGGGAAUUUAUCAACUUGCAGCGCCAUCUAUCGCGCCACUCAAGUACUAAUGUCGCCCGGUUGCUAGCGCUCGGCUGCUUUCUCGUCAGUACAUAUGCUCUUU